rnacentral:rRNA from 1 species
CCUACGGGAGGCAGCAGUGAGGAAUAUUGGUCAAUGGACGCAAGUCUGAACCAGCCAUGCCGCGUGCAGGAAGACGGCUCUAUGAGUUGUAAACUGCUUUUGUACGAGGGUAAACCCAGAUACGCGUAUCUUUCUGCACGUAUCGUACGAAUAAGGAUCGGCUAACUCCGUGCCAGCAGCCGCGGUAAUACGGAGGAUUCAAGCGUUAUCCGGAUUUAUUGGGUUUAAAGGGUGCGUAGGCGGUCGGAUAAGUUAGAGGUGAAAUCCCGAGGCUCAACUUCGGAAUUGCCUCGGAUACUGGUAGGCUAGAGAGCAGUUGCGGUAGGCGGAAUGUAUGGUGUAGCGGUGAAAUGCUUAGAGAUCAUACAGAACACCGAUUGCGAAGGCAGCUUACCAAGCUACUUCUGACGUUGAGGCACGAAAGCGUGGGGAGCAAACAGGAUUAGAUACCCCUGUAGUC